GAAAGAAUGGCUCCCUCCAAUUCUCCUCUUAAGAAGAAGGAGAUUGCAUCCUCCGUUGCUCAUUGGGAGGACCUCAACCCUGAAAUACUUGCUUUGAUACUAGUUCGACUCCCACCUGACCAAAGGGUGGGACCCGUGUCGUUGGUGUGCAAGUCCUGGUUGGCAUGCGUUGCUGGACCCUGCUGCUGGUCCCAAAUCGACAUCCAACAAUGGUGUAGGCGGCAGGACCGCUCCGUCGAUCGAGUUGACUCAGUGGUGCGCAAGUUGAUUAAGCGUAGUAAAGGCACAUUUCGUCUGCUGUCUGCUUACAAGCUCGGAGAUGCCGGUUUCGCUUUCGCUGCUAACUGUGGGAGAUACCUUAAGGAACUGCGAAUUCCCAUGAGUGAUAUCACUGACAAGAUGGUGGAAAAGCAUGCUGGAUCACUAACUAAUUUGAUGCUCUUGGACAUCGUUACUGUUUGAAGAUCACAUGCCAAGGGCUUGUAGCAUUAGGAGAGAACUGCAAAUCCUUAACUCAUCUGAGGAGAAAUAUGCCACCACCAGAAUGGGGGAGGCCAGUGAAGAGAAAUUCUUCACGCUUGAAUGAUUGUGAAGCAUUGGUCAUUGCCAAUACAAUGUCAGGGCUCCAGCUUCUUGAACUUGUUUUUGGCUCCUUUGGAGAUUCUGGUCUUAAUGCCAUCCUUACCAAGUGCAAGGCUCUUUCCCAUCUUGAUAUUCAAGGCUGCUGGGGUGUGGAGCUGAAAGAUGAUCUAGAGGAUAGGUGCCUGCAGCUUCGGUAUUUCAAGAGCCCCUGGAUUGAUGACUAUGUCAACGAAAGUGAUGCGGAUGAUGAUGAAGAAUUUGCUAAUUUGCUUCUACGGAUUCAGAAUCUGAUUAGUCUAGAUUUUUAUAUUACACAGAUUACAGAUUUUUGCAGAUACAGAGCCAAAAGUUUCGGUUUCUAAAGCAUAAAUGCUCAAGUUAACAAUUCAAAAAAAUAAAAUUCACUGAUUGAAAUUGGCACCCUUGUUUGGGAGGACAGGGAUGAGAUGAUUUUCUAGAAAGGUAGGAUACUUUAUAAUAUUAAAAAUGCUGCUUCUGUUGGUGAAUACAUGUGUUUUAU
rnacentral:misc_RNA from 1 species